rnacentral:rRNA from 1 species
GACGAACGCUGGCGGCGUGCUUAACACAUGCAAGUCGAACGGAAAGGCCCUGCUUUUGUGGGGUGCUCGAGUGGCGAACGGGUGAGUAACACGUGAGUAUCCUGCCCUUGACUUUGGGAUAACUUCAGGAAAAUGGGGCUAAUACCGGAGAGGAGCUCCUGCUGCAUGGUGGGGGUUGGAAAGUGUCGGCGGUUGGGGAUAGAUUCGCGGCUUAUCAGCUUGUUGGGGUGGUAGUGGCUUACCAAGGCUUUGACGGGUAGCCGGCCUGAGAGGUGGACCGGGCACAUUAGGACUGAGAGACGGACCAGACUGGUACGGGAGGCAGCGGGGGAGAAUAUUGCACAAUGGGCGGAAGCGUGAUGCAGCAGCGCCGCGUGCGGGAUGCCGGCCUUCGGGUUGUAAACCGCUUUCGCCUGUGACGAAGCGUGAGUGACGGUAACGGGUAAAGAAGCACCGGCUAACUACGUG